rnacentral:lncRNA from 1 species
AGUGGGUGCUCCAGCCCUGAAGGCUGGACAAAGGGCAGCUGCUUUGUGAGACCUGGGUAGAGCUUGGCCACGUGGGCUGAGUGCCCGGUUUCUGUUUUUCUCCCGGUGCAGGAAAACAUGAAGAACGGGGAAAGUAGCUGCCACAUGCCAAUGUGAAACUCCAAGGAAUCUAGCCAUUCUGAUCUGGCCUUCCAGGUCAUUAGGAGGCUCUGCCAUCAUGUGAGGAUGUGCAGCUCGGACAUGGAGGGCAGAAGGUGCUCAGGAAGGAUCUUCUGCAUGCAGGAGCCUCCUCUCUCAAAGGGUGUUCUCCAAUCAUGAGCUUAUUUGCUGUUUACAUGCCCGAGGAGGACUGACCUUAGCAGCUAUGAUGACCUCAUUUAUCACUGUGGAUAAGCACUUGGCCAGGGUCUCGGCCAGCACCCCGGGCCCAGCCUCCUGGUCUACUCGUUUCUGGGGGUGGGGGCAUCUGCCCACUGUCCUGAACUUUCCUCUGCUUGGGUAGGGACAGGGAGCCCCAGCAGCACUUGUUCCAGGAUGACCCAGCAAAUUGCAAGGUGGCAUUUGGCCUUUUUCUCAGCAAUUGCCAGACUUUGUCCCAGGGUGAGGAGGAAGCCAAUGGAAGAGCUGGGGUGAGGAGAUCAAAGACCUUUCCAGAGAUUCAGGCAGGGGCCCAAACCAAGGGCAUUUCCAGGCGGGCACUGGGACCAGCCCCAGGGACACGCCAACGCACUGCUGGGGCCAAGGGGAAAGGUUGGUUUCAAAACCACAUGUGCGGCAGCCUCACCACUGAGUCAUGCUUGUGAGGCCUGCUGGAGACCAAAGACAGGGGCUACAAGCUCAAAACCGCCUGGUUAGUGCUGACUCUAUUGAUUUCCUGGCCUUCCACUUUCAAACCUUCCUUGGAUGGCUAAACUCCUUCUGGAAGACACACCUGUUUUUUAUAUUUGCCUGGUAUACCUCACUUCUUUGAGUGACAGCACCCCAGAGAUCCCCUUCUCCACUCUCACUCCGUGUAGUUAAGGUGAGGUUGGAUUCUCCUCACCAUCAUGUCUUGCUUCUUUCAACUCUAGGUACUGCCAACAAGAAGGCCCAAUCAUGAUCCUCCCACAACAAGAGCAGACUGUGACGUGGCAAGCUCUAUGCUGAGCACUGGAAGGACAAAAAGAGAUUGGGCACAGACUUCUCACUGAUCCAGGUGAUGAGGAGCUCACAUCUGAGAGGAUGUGACCAUGGAUGACCCACCAGAAUGUCAUGGGAUCCAGCUACAGCCAAGGAAGCACAGAGCACCGUGGGAGCGAUUUAUUGUGCCUAUAAUCCCAGCUACUCAGGAGGCUGAGGCACAAGAAUCUCUUGAACCUGGGAGGUGGAGGUUGCAGUGAGCAGAGAUCGUGCCACUGCACUCCAGCCUGGGUGAUAGAGUGAGAUUCAGUCUCAAAAAAAAAAAAAAAAAGAAAAGAAAAGAAAAGAAAUUUUGAUCCACCCAUGCAAGGGAAUGCUACACUUCCAUUCAAAGUCAAGGUGGCCACACCAUAGCAGGGAAAAAUCAGUUAUAAAAACAUUAAACAUAGUGUGAUCCUAGCUCACAAGUACAUUAAUCCAAUUCAUUCAGUUAUUAACUAUGUAAUGAAGAUGUGCUGUACGCCAAGCACCAUUCUGGGUACUGGGAAUAUGGACAGGAACAAGCUCCGGGUGGGAAGUUGUUUAGGGGAAGAUAGGUAAUACAUAUAUGGACUUAAGAACACACAAGAUAAUUUCUGAGCACGGCACACAAUGCCAUGAAGAAAGGCAUGCAAGAUGGACUAGUUUAGUGUGCGUGAAGAUGGAGGGACUAUCCAAGGAGGUGACAUUUCGGCCAUGACUUGCGUGCUGAAAAAAAAAAAAAAUCCAGUCAUGAUUUCCAGAGUCAUGAAAUUCAGAGCAUUUCAGGCAAAGAGGCGAAGGCCUUGAGGGGAAAUGCCAUUGGUGUAUUAGGAGGGAAAAAGAAAGAGAAAUAAUGUGUGAGUAGAGAGAGAAGAGGUAGGAGAGGCAAGCAGGGCCAGAUCACACAGACUGAAAGUCAAGGUGAAGUGUUGAUAAGGAGUGUGGAUUUCCUUCCAAGUGCUGUAGAAAGCUAUCGGGUUCUAUGUAGGCAAUCAUCAUAGUGUUGACCUCCAAACAACACAGGUUUGAACUGUACAGGUCCACUUACAGGUGACUUUUCUUCCACCUCUGCCACCCCUGAGAGAGCAGGACCAACCACUCCUUUUCCUCCUCCUCAGCCUACUCAAGUUGAUGAUGACAAGGGUGAAGACCUUUAUGCUGAGCCACUUCUGCGUAGUGAAAACUCACCAGAGAGCAACAUCGACAGAUGACAACCAUCACCCGGAGCUCCAGUUUGAAGAGGCUUUUCCCUGAGCAAUCUCUUUUGAUUUUCACGAUAACCCUGUGAGUGAAGCCAGACCAUUGUCAUUAAGACCUCCAUUUUGGAGGUGAGGCAAUUGAGGCUGGGAGCUGCAAAGAGGCUGAGGCAGGAAAUGACAAAACUGGGACAGGAAUCAAGGUUCCACAGCGCUGGUCCAAGCUUCCUGAUUUUGUGGCCCAGCCAGGCUAAUGGCUGAGUCUGCAUCAAAUUCACCCAGAGACCCCAGGGCCCUAACAGGAAGUCUACAAGGUUACUCUCCUGCUUGGGGGAGGGCAGGGAUGGACCUAGAGCCCCCAGCUGCCGAUGACUGGAACAGAAAGAGGGUCUUUCCCACAUAGUAGAUGCUCAACAAACAUUUGUUGAAUUAAUGCAAUAGCUUGCUUUUGGGGGAAAUGCCACCUUGGGGAGGAUGGUUUUGCUGACUUUACAAUUUAGUAGCUGUGCAUCCUCCUCUGUCACUCCCCUCCACAAAGCUGGAGUGUAGGCACUGGAGCCGGAAUGUCUGGGCUUGAAUCUGCCUCUACCACUGACCACCAGCUGUGACCUACCCUUUCCACCUCAGUUUUCUGAUCUGUAAAGUGGGAGUAAUAAUGAUGGUCUCCUUGGGUUACUGUUUGGAUUAAAUGAAUGAAUGAAUGCUUUGAAGAGGUGUUGGCAUACAGUGUGUGCUCCAUAAGCGUCAGAGGUUACUAGCGUCAGCAUGAAAGGGCUGUUGAAAGGGUGAGGUGAGGCUCCUGGCAGCACAGGCAGAGCUGAGCAUGGUCUCGAUGGGUGAUGGCUACUGCGGCUGUCCUUCUACCCCCAUGACUCCCCUUGCUGGUACCUCAGUGGUUAUUCACAGGAAACAUACAGAAAUGCACUGCACAUCAUUUUUUAGAGAAGGGACACCCCUAUCCACCAGAAGGGUCCUUUGCCAAGUCAAAUAAUAGACCUGCACUCUCUCAUCUCAGGAGGUUUCUGUCUGUUCAAGGUCACCUGAAGAAUUUCCUGGCACUUUC